CCCCUAGAUGUUCUGGGCCGCACGCGCGCUACACUGAACAGUUCAACAAGUCUUAACCUUGGCCGAUAGGUCUGGGUAAUCUUUGAACGCUGUUCGUGAUUGGGAUAGACCUUUGCAAUUUUUGGUCUUCAACGAGGAAUUCCUAGUAAACGCAAGUCAUCAACUUGCAUUGAUUACGUCCCUGCCCUUUGUACACACCGCCCGUCGCACCUACCGAUUGAAUGGUCCGGUGAAGCCUCCGGAUUGGCGCGCACCCCGGUGCCGCCGAGAAGUUGGCUAAACCUUACCAUUUAGAGGAAGGUGAAGUCGUAACA
rnacentral:rRNA from 1 species